GACGGAGGGUGCGAGCGUUAUCCGGAAUCACUGGGCGUAAAGCGUCUGUAGGUGGUGAUGCAAGUCACUGGUGCAAAACUCUGGCUCAACCGGAGGAAAGCCAGUGAAACUGCAUGACUAGAGUGUGGGAGAGGUAGAAGGAAUUCCCUGAGUAGCGGUGAAAUGCGUAGAUACAGGGAAGAACACCGGAGGCGAAAGCGUUCUACUGGAACACAACUGACACUGAGAGACGAAAGCUAGGGGAGCGAAUGGG
rnacentral:rRNA from 1 species